rnacentral:lncRNA from 1 species
UUGAUAUAUUGUACCUUCACUUUUGUUUGCUAUAAUGUAGAGCUGCAGUGGGAAGGAUGUCUAAUAAAAUAUCAUCAUUUAUCUUCUAAAACAGCAGCGUAGGGUUUCACCUCCCUGAUCUGUUACACUUCUCUUAGUCUUCUGUUAAACAUUUAAAGUACACAAAUGACUUAACUGACACUGCAUUGGUUAAAUAAUUGAAACAUUUCAGCCUGAUCACUUAUUUUCUUCCACUUGAUUGCCUUAAUUUGUUCUGUGUUAGUUGUUUGGGGCAAAGGAUUUUUGUUAAAUUUUUGACACCUGAAAAACAUUGUUGUGCUUCUGUGGUAUUAUUCCAUAAAUCAUAAACGCUUGUCCACUUUCAGAUCUUCGAGUUACAGCUUGGGUGUGUGAUGAAAUCGUGUCCACAAAGCUUGAUAACAGUGUCAUCUCCAGUGUGUAUUCCAGCCAUCCACGCAUCCUUGUACUCUCAUUUUUGGAGUUUGUUGUCUCUGCAGCUGCUAGCAGUCAGCCAUCUUCAGCUCCUACUCUGGCAAGGAAAUGUGCAAGAAAGGCCUGUGUUCGGAGACUGAAAUUCACAGGCUCCGUUUCCUUUUACCAUUGCUGCAAUAUAAUUGUAGCCUGGCAAAGAAUAACCAGCACAGGACACAAAUAUAUUUGUGGGGUUCUUUAUUUUCAGGUGUGCAUGCAUGCAUGGGGUGAAACCUGUCCUGUGUGCAGACAUGUAUGGAAUACGGAGGAGCUACACGGAAUUGCAUUCACAAAGCCUUCUGGUAUUUGA